rnacentral:rRNA from 1 species
UACGUAGGGGGCAAGCGUUGUCCGGAUUUAUUGGGCGUAAAGAGCGUGUAGGCGGCCAAGCAGGUCCGCUGUGAAAACUCGAGGCUCAACCUCGAGAGGUCGGUGGAAACCGUUUGGCUAGAGUCCGGAAGAGGAGAGUGGAAUUCCCGGCGUAGCGGUGAAAUGCGCAGAUAUCGGGAAGAACACCCGUGGCGAAGGCGGCUCUCUGGGACGGUACUGACGCUGAGACGCGAAAGCGUGGGGAGCGAACAGG